CGUGUUUCCGCUGUUGCAGUAAACAACAACAACACCAUGGAUUUACGAUGUAAAACACGUCAAUUCAUCAGAUAUGACUGGUCUUUUCUUUGGCAUUAGAUGUAACAUGUGUGUUUUGUGCUGGUACCAAAUCGUCAGAACUUUCAUCUGUGAAGUGCUUCUUGCUAAUCCCACCACUGGCCAUCAUGCACAGAAAAGAUCAUGAUGUGGAGGACAUAGGUGCUUAGUUAUCAGCUUAUAGAAGCUGAUCCCUUGUACAGACAAGUCAAAGAAGAAUUUCCUCCAGUCUUUCAGAGAAGUGACAGUUGAUGAAAGAAUGGAGGCACAAAGUAAAAGUGCUCUGGUCUUCAACAUUUUGUGGAAGAUUUAAUCAGUCUGAUCUGGAAUUCAUUUUGCAAUAUUUCUGGAUUUGUAUAUUUGGACAUAAACAUCACAUUUUUCAACCUAUUGACAAAACAGUUUUGCAUUAAUUGCCAAUGCCAUGUAUUAUUAUUUCCUUUCAAGAUGGCAUGUCAAUUCUUUAUUGUACCCCUUAAGCUCUGUUAUACCAGUACAAUCUUGCAAUGAAAUCAUUCAAGUUUAUUUUUACUUCUUAGAUUAAAUUUUUGCUUGCAAA